AGCAUCUACACUCAUUCGUUCGGUAUAGUCUGUCAUGUUUAGAUCGUAGCGCAUCGAAAUUUCGAAAUUCCCUCAGCGGCCGACGGCCAUCGUCGCGUGACUCUUCGGCGGCCAUUUUGUACGCGUUCCUCACGCUCGCGUACCUACAUACCGAGAAAAUGUCUACGAUUUAAGAAAACGGUCGAUGUGUGAUGAUUAAAAGUAUAAACAUCAAUUAACAACCAAAACGUCGGUUAAAAUGGAAUAAAACAUCGUUGUUUGCAACAUCUUAACAACAAACAAUCAAGAAGAAUAAAUUUAAACAAAUUUUACAAACAAAACAAGAAUUUUCACAGUUGUGAGAGUUAUUAAGAGUACCAUUCGAAGAAGAUAUCAAGAGCAUCUGGGGCUCCUUGCUGGUCGAUAGUUAAAAUAGAAAACUAGGUACUUAUUAAUAAUUUAAGAAGAAAAAUAAAUGAAAAAUGAUUGCAUUGUCACACCGAAAGGAAGCAACAAAUAUGAGUAGAUUAUUUGAGUAUUGCAAAGAGAAGACCCAAGAAAAAAGGGUAACAAGAGGGUUCAGCAUCCCCCUAAACAACAAGAUAGUCAUACGCGCAUGCGUAGUAGUAUUUCAGUUAAUUUGAUAGUAAAAAACACUUAAUAAUGAAGAUUUCAUACCCCCAAUCGUUACCUUCAGCGUUUUUUCAAGUUAAGUCAUUACAUUAGACCUAACCUCAAAGUACGAGAACCUCUAGCCUAAGAAGAAAUCUACAUAUAAGCCUACAUUGCCAUUCUUAACUACAUAGUAAAUAUCAUAGUAAUAGCGAUUGUGUUCUCAAGUCAAGAAGUGUAUUCGACUAAAUACGCUCGCCCAGUCCCACAACGAGUGUGGAUAUGUGCAUGAAGAUGGCGCUGUGUGACAUUGCACGCCAAUGUUUAGGCUAUGGAAAUUUGGUAUACUCUGCAUUUAACCUCAAAAUUCGCACAUCAUAUGAGUGGCGUGCGGUGUGGAUGCGUACAUGCGUGGCGUGACGCGGCGUUGGGUUUGGAUCGUGCGGCAUUGUUCCAGCGCGCGACUGGUUAGAUGGCGGUAGUGGCGCGGUCGCAGUGAAGCGUUGGCGGCCCGUCCGCCGUCGUGCUAAUACGGUUGCUGCAUUGCGCGGAAAAAUUGCCGCAAGGGUUGGACGCGACGACUGUGCUUGCGUGUACGCGCAUGCGCAUUUCAACUCAGUGCACUUGGAUUGUCCAUUCGCUCUCGGGGGCUUAUAGAAUUACGACGCGAGUGUUUAAAGGAUUGUUUGAAGUUAUGCUUCGUUUAUAAAAUGUUGGGGAUGUGGAAUCUAAUAUCAAAUUCUGUUUAAAAUUGGAUGCGUCAUCAGUCAAGAGAUGUACAUAUAGGUUAAUUAAUUUUUUAAGAGUAAGCAUUAUCUCAAGCCAUUACCAGAUCAUAAUUUAUUAUUAUUCUGCAAAGGAAGGUUUUUUUAUAGGGGCCAUAAUAUGAAAAAUUCAUAACAUUCCAAAUUCUUCGUGUAGGAACAAGAUUGCAAAUUUCGUCAUUAAUUUCUCUCUUUUAACAAUUAACUAAUUCUAAACUUACAUUAUUGAAACUUUUUUUUCACCGGACUGAUGACGCGUCGCACACACACACACACACAACACACAAUUAAUAAUAGUAAGCGAUAGUAAUUUAUAGGUUAGAAUGAAAUGUUAGGAUUAAUAUUUAUGUAAAUUAGGUAGGUAGAUGAAGUUAAUAAUUAUAGAAUGCAUUGAAGACUGUGAAGAAGAAGAAGAAGAAGAAGCUAAUGUUACCUUGGUAAACUCGAGUUGUGUGGAUAGAAGUCUCUGCACCUGCUGGAUGAUGAGGGUGCGAGAGGUCCUGGCUGUGGAGCUUGCACGUUGCAGGAUUUGUUGCAUUUUAUUCUUCUUGAUUGUUGGAAGUUUCGAUUAAAAUUAUGUGUAAAAUCUGUAAAAGUGAAAA